rnacentral:lncRNA from 1 species
AACAAAGCCUAUCUAAAAUAAUGCAUUAAAGCAACUGUCUUUAUUGAGACCAAAGAACCAUCUAAACCAAUAUGCUCUUUUGAGUUGCUGUUAUCUUCAUUUCUUGGGCAUACAUUUUGGGUGGACAAAAAAAUAUAAAUCCUUAUUAAUCUGUAAUAUAAAUACUUUUCAAAAGAUCAUUUUAUUGUUAACAAUGGGCUCAAACUGUAUAUCAGCACACUGUUACAUUUCGAUUGAUUAUUAUAAACUUUUUUUUUUCCUUUUUUUGAGACUGCCACUUGAAAAUUACGUACUGUCUGCAUGUGACUAACUGGAAUCCCCUGAAAAAUUAAAACUCAAAUAGUAACAGCAAUGGUGUUUUUUUCUGUUUUAUCAGUAAAUACUUCCACAAAUAUCUUCUGUAUUCAAACUUUAAAACUUGUUUGAGAUUUCUGUUGUUUUCACUGCUUUUUAAAUGUUUUUCAGUUUGAAAGAUUAGGUUGCAGUAAACCACGGAUACGUAUUCCUACUUCCUUAGUUUAUGCAUCAGCCAUGAUAAUGGAAUACCUUCAUCUGAUGCUGAAACCAUUUGUUGAACUGUCUCCACUGCUGACCAGAAAUGAGGUACAGAACAUUUCUAUAACCCAUACAUUCCGAAUAGACAAGGCACGGAGUCAGCUAGGAUACAGCCCAGAGAAGUUUGCAUUUGCUGAUUCCGUGGACCAUUACAUUAAAACAAGACCAGAAGCCCAGAAUCAUCACAUCUUCCUCAAAGUUCUGCUUACUUUAAUUGUUAGUGUAAGCUUGAUCAUUCUUUCUUUAAAAUUUGAUGGUCUUUCAGUUUUGCAUUUUUUUAAAGAAACACAGCACUGACUUGCAUAAACUGCACAUUCUCACAGUACUGCUACCUGGAUCAUUCUAAUCUCAACAGUUACUGGCUCCAGUGCAAUAGGCAGUUUUUAUUAGACUUAAAAACAAAAUUGUAACAGAUCAUCAGCUGUACUUGUGAAAUUAAAAUUACGGCCAAGUCGCUGAAACACUGGAAUCAAAAUUAUUGCAUGUUUAUUUCACACCAAAACCCAACUUUCUGAAUUGAUUGCUGAAGUAAAUGAGAACCUGCAGAAAGAGCUACAGCCAGCCUGGAGUGCUUCACCAGUGAAGAAAAAUGGCUAAAAGAAGGAAAAAAGAUUGACCACAGCUGCUGCCAUGGCUCACUGCCUUGGGGAACAGAGGAACAAGAAAAGGGAUGGACAGAACAAAUUGCUGUAAAUAACACAUACCAGCUGUAGAGAGGCAGUUCAUUGUGAAUUUCUUUUGUGAAUUACCUGUAUCACUGCAUAUGAGGGAAAAUAAAUAUGUACUUGAGACUUUGCUGAAAUCA